GAUGAACGCUGGCGGCGUGCCUAAUACAUGCAAGUCGAGCGAAGCGGGGACGGGUGAGUAAAACGUGGAUAACCUCCUAUAAGACUGGGAUAACUUCGGGAAACCGGAGCUAAACCGGAUACUUAUAGGAGGAUCCGGGCUGCAUUAGCUAGUGGGUAAGGUAACGGCUUACCAAGGCAACGAUGAAUAGCCGACCUGAGAGGGGGAUCAGCCACACUGGAACUGAGACACGGUCCAGAUUCCUACGGGAGGCAGCAGUGGGGAAUAUUCCACAAUGGGCGAAAGCCUGACGGAGCAACGCCGCGUGGGUGAUGAAGGUCUUCGGAUCGUAAAGCUCUUUUAGUAGGGAAGCGUUACCUAAUCAGAAAGCCCCGGCUAACUACGUGCCAGCAGCCGCGGUAAUUC
rnacentral:rRNA from 1 species